rnacentral:rRNA from 1 species
CUACGGGGCGCAGCAGUGAGGAAUAUUGCACAAUGGGGGGAACCCUGAUGCAGCAACGCCGCGUGGAGGAUGACGCAUUUCGGUGUGUAAACUCCUUUUAUAUGUCAAGAAAAUGACGGUAGCAUAUGAAUAAGCACCGGCUAACUCCGUGCCAGCAGCCGCGGUAAUACGGAGGGUGCAAGCGUUACUCGGAAUCACUGGCGUAAAGGACGCGUAGGCGGGUUGGAAAGUCAGGUGUGAAAUCCUACAGCUUAACUGUAGAACUGCACUUGAAACUUCUAAUCUAGAGUAUGGGAGGGGGAGAUGGAAUUAGUGGUGUAGGGGUAAAAUCCGUAGAUAUCACUAGGAAUACCUAAAGCGAAGGCGAUCUCCUGGAACAUUACUGACGCUAAGACGUGAAAGCGUGGGGAGCAAACAGGAUUAGAUACCCCCGUAGUC